rnacentral:rRNA from 1 species
UACAGGGGGUGCAAACGUUGCUCGGAAUUAUUGGGCGUAAAGCGCACGUAGGCGGGCGCAGUAAGUCCCAUGUGAAAGCCCACGGCUUAACCGUGGAAGUGCAUGGGAAACUACUGUGCUUGAGUACUUAAGAGGAUCGCGGAAUUCCCGGUGUAGAGGUGAAAUUCGUAGAUAUCUGGAGGAACACCGGUGGCGAAGGCGGCGAUCUGGCCCAACACUGACACUGAGACCCGAAAGCGUGGGGAUCAAACAGG